CCUACGGUGCGCAGCAGUGAGGAAUAUUGGUCAAUGGGCGGAAGCCUGAACCAGCCAAGUAGCGUGCGGGAUGAAGGCCCUACGGGUCGUAAACCGCUUUUGCACGGGGAUAACACCCUCCACUUGUGGAGGUCUGCAGGUACCGUGCGAAUAAGGGCCGGCUAAUUCCGUGCCAGCAGCCGCGGUAAUACGGAAGGCCCGAGCGUUAUCCGGAUUCAUUGGGCUUAAAGGGAGCGUAGGCGGGCGUUCAAGUCAGCUGUAAAAUCGCGCGGCUAAACCGCGCACCGCAGUUGAAACUGGACGCCUUGAGUUCACAAGCGGCAGGCGGAAUGCGUGGUGUAGCGGUGAAAUGCAUAGAUAUCA
rnacentral:rRNA from 1 species